rnacentral:lncRNA from 1 species
AAAAAAAAAAAAAAAAAAAAACAGAGAAGGACUCCAACCCCCAACUCCCUUCUCGGCCAUCUCCCUCUCUCUCAAUUUUUCCACCAUCACAUUCCACAGAAACUCUCUCUCGGUUCACUUUCCAUACACAAGCACACCAAGCACAAAAACCCUCUCAAUCUCAACCACUCACAAAACCAAAAAAAAAAAACAAAGAGAGAAAAAGAGAAGAAACACUCUUCACUCCCCAACUCUCAUUUUCGGCCCUUCGCCCCAAAAUUUCCAACAUAACUCCACACACAUUUCUCCCACAAUUCAAGUACAAAAAAGAGAAGCAAGCAAGAUACGGCCAAGGUUCAAAAGUUUUACCAAAAGCAUCAACUGAAGAAUUGCCAUAUUUAUUGAGGUAUAUUUUCAGUUUUUUUAUCAUAUUAAAACCAUGCUUCAUUGCUUAAUUUUCUUUUGCUUUCAUUGGUUUCCUUUGUUGAUUGAGUUGCUGAAAUUUGGGAUAAGCCAUGAAUAAAAGUUAAGAAAAGAGAAAUGGCCUUGAAAAUGCCUUGUUUGUAUUUGAUAAAAUGCCACAAUGAAAAUAUGAGUUAAGUUAGUGAAU